GGAUUUCCUUGGAGAUCUUCUUGAGAAAUCUACUUCCUGUGCUCAAGAAAAUCAAGCCCAGAGUAUUGCUGUAGCAUGCGUUAUGGCUUGUCCCACAUCAUUUUCUGUUCUGCAUGCCUAAAUCAGAAGGGAACUGACUUGCCUCCAUCGAGGAUUUCUGCCUAGRUGAAGAAGAAAAGAAAAUCCACAACUGCCUCAUAGGUUUAAGAACCUGAAGUUUCAUCAUGAUAAAAUUGUUUACAAAACAAAGGGAAGCAAUGCCUUUCGCAGAGACUGUACAACAGAAAAUCCAGGGAGAGUCCAGGGUAUUUUACUAUUUCUGAAAUGCAAAUUGCAGUGAAAAGGGGCAUUUUUCUACAUGUGAAAGCUCUAUCUUUUAUUCUUUCGCAUAGCUCUGAAGGUAGUAGCACAGUAUUUGUCUUCCAUUUAGGAUAAGCAGAUGAUUGGCAUUAAGUGCUGAAGUGUGUGUCUGUCUUUUAUCUUGCACAAGCACUGUUUUCCCGCUUGCCAUUCAGUUAAGUCAUGCUCUGGUUUUUAUGCAAUCAGGAAACAGCUCUCUGUUCUUAAUCUUGUUAUCUGCUUUCUCAGCAUUUAUUCUUUUCUCAAUUGCCCAUAGAAGUGGAAAGGUUAAGAUACAGGAAUUGUCUCUGUGAUGGCAAAAUGUUUCUUUGUAAAACUACUGCUGCUUGGAUUUCCUAUGCACACUUCUCAGCUUGCUUUUGAUUUGUAUAUUCAGUAUUAGGAUAUGUAGAUAGUAUGUUAGAUAUAGUUCUUCUGUUCUUCCACAGAUGCACACAGCAUCUUCAUGGAAGUAAACAUAAUGGAACUAAACAUAUGUACAUGAGAUAAUCUAUAAAAUAUAUAUAAGAUAAUCUAUAAAAAUAUAAAACAGAUUGUUUGGAAAUUAUAAUCUAGCAUAAGUUACUCAAUGCGGAAGUGUGAAAUUACCCGUAUCUCUUUUGCUGAGUUUAUUACAGCAGCGCAUAUCCGCAGCAGCAUGUUAGUGAUGUGUCAAGGUCUUUGUUUUGAUACCCAGAAGUGUUAUUUGGGCUUUGAUUUGUUUCCCUGUGUUCUGUCACACUGUAUUAAAAAGCUUUGAGUCAAGACUGUUCCCCAUAAAACAAAUUAGGUUUGUGGACUACUGUGCACUUUUAUUAAUUAUUUUCCAUAUUCCCUGYUAGAUGGAUACUCUUCAGGUUGGUCUUAGUCUUACGGAAAAUCAUCUUGAUAGAUGAGUAGCUCAGAGCAACAUCUG